AUUGAACGCUGGCGGCAUGCUUUACACAUGCAAGUCGAACGGUAACAGGCCUUCGGGUGCUGACGAGUGGCGAACGGGUGAGUAAUGCAUCGGAACGUGCCCAAUCGUGGGGGAUAACGUAGCGAAAGUUACGCUAAUACCGCAUAAGCCCUGAGGGGGAAAGCAGGGGAUCGCAAGACCUUGCGCGAAUGGAGCGGCCGAUGUCAGAUUAGCUAGUUGGUGGGGUAAAGGCCUACCAAGGCGACGAUCUGUAGCGGGUCUGAGAGGAUGAUCCGCCACACUGGGACUGAGACACGGCCCAGACUCCUACGGGAGGCAGCAGUGGGGAAUUUUGGACAAUGGGCGCAAGCCUGAUCCAGCCAUGCCGCGUGCGGGACGAAGGUCUUCGGGUUGUAAACCGCUUUCAGCCGGAAAGAAUCGCCAAGGCUAAUAUCCUUGGUGGAUGACGGUACCGGAAGAAGAAGCACCGGCUAACUACGUGCCAGCAGCCGCGGU
rnacentral:rRNA from 1 species